rnacentral:sRNA from 1 species
UGCGGCUGCCCUGACCAGGGCGUUUCCUCCCUAGACUCGGGCCGCUCGCAAGGGCGGCCCAUUUUCAUUUGUCCAGC